GGGGAGGGGCGGGGAUGAUGCUCCCGGGAGCAUCGCGGGGGGGGGAGGAAGCAGCGCGGCUUCCUCGAGGGGGGCUCCCCAGUUUGGGGGAUAGAGGAGGAGGAUGAGGAGGGGGUCGAUGCUGUUACGGCGCUGCUGGAGCCCCUCACGGUGCCGCAGGUGAGGAAGAUGCUGCUCCGAGCCCCGGCCAGGCGCUCUCCUAUCAGCGUCUCCCGGAGCCCUCCCGGCACCGCUCCCAGCCGGACGCCCCGGGGGCAUCCUCAGAGCUGCAGCCUCCUGCAUCCCACCGCUCCUUCCCGGGAAACAGCCCAGGUGAGGAGGAGGAGGGAGGUCUGA
rnacentral:lncRNA from 13 species